UCUCUGGUGGUCCAGUGGUUAAGACUCUGUGCUCCCAAUGCAGAGGGCCUGAGUUUGAUCCCAGGUCAGAGAA
rnacentral:tRNA from 1 species